CAAAAUAUAGUUUAUUAAAAUAUUAAUUUUGGAGAUUAAUGAUAUAAUUUAAAAUUAUUUUUUUGA
rnacentral:tRNA from 1 species